UACGUAGGGACCAAGCGUUGUUCGGAUUUACUGGGCGUAAAGGGCGCGUAGGCGGCUUAACAAGUCACUUGUGAAAUCUCCGGGCUUAACUCGGAACGGCCAAGUGAAACUGUCAAGCUAGAGUGCAGAAGGGGCAAUCGGAAUUCUUGGUGUAGCGGUGAAAUGCGUAGAUAUCAAGAGGAACACCUGAGGUGAAGACGGGUUGCUGGGCUGACACGUGACGCUGAGGCGACGAAAGCCAGGGGAGCAAACGGG
rnacentral:rRNA from 1 species